UUAAAAUUUUCCCAGGGAUUGUGCAUUACGUGCAGGACGUGCCUAACCCAGAGAGACUCAAGUGUGACGCCGCGCUCCUACUUCCGGGGCGGCUGGUUCUUCCCGUCCUCCCCACCCCGGGGACACGCUUCUAGUAGGCCAAACUCCCAGGUGACCCCCGCAAGAAACGCGGUCCGGAGAGGGUCUGGCCCCACUGCUGGGGCAAGGGCUCUAGGCGCCCGGACCCCACGCCCGCAGCCUGCGGAGAACGUGCCGACAAGGACCUGUAGGGCCCCACUCCCCCUCCUCCCUCCCUCGGCGCAGCCCGGCCCAGGGGUCUGUCCUCCCAGGCCCAGGAAAGGAGGAAACCCACUUCCGCCGCGUCCAUGAUCUCCCGCGGCUUCUCCUGACUCUUGCGGCUGGCGCUGGCGCUGGGCAUCGGGACACGGAACUGGGCAGUGGACACCACCCUCCCUCGCAGGCUUCCAAAGUAAUUUGAAGGCCUUCCCUGACUUAAAGUGGAUGCUGCUUUGGAAAGCACUGGAAAAAUGGAUCCUGUCUUUCUUAGCCAAGGACUGGUCUCUUUUCUCCAAUGUGUCCCUAACAGAGUGGUGAGGCUGGCUCUUCCCACCAGUACAGGAAGAUCAUUCCUUAAAAGAAAUAGCCAUAUGGCUUAUAAGGGACUAUAUCUUAAGACUAUGUGUCUUCUGCAGUUCUUUGCAUAGAGUCAACGUUGAAGGACAAGCAACUUCAAAUUUCCAAGCAACAAAAUUAUGUUCGGGUGGUUUUCUGAAAGCGAGAUCUUAAGAACCACCUGUAUCAGAAUCCCAUGAAGAGCUUGUUUAGUGUGCAAAUUUACAGAUUGUCCCCCCUCAGAAAUGCUCAUUUAGGAGUUCCUGUCCUUUGCGGGGACAUGGAUGAAGCUGGAAACCAUCAUUCUCAGCAAACUAACACAGGAACAGAAAACCAAACACUGCAUGUUCUCACUCAAAAGUGGGAGUUGAACAAUGAGAACACAUGGACACAGGGAGGGGAACGUCACACACCAGGGCCUGUCGGGGGUGGGAGGUAAGGGGAGGGAGAGGAUUAGGACAAAUACCUAAUGCAUGUGGGGCUUAAAACCUAGAUGAUGGGUUGAUAGGUGCAGCAAACCACCAUGGACAUGUAUACCUAUGUAACAAACUUGCAUGUUCAGUACAUGUAUCCCAGAACUUAAAGUAAAAUAUAAAACAAUAAUAAAAAGGAAAUGCUCAUUCAGGAGUUUUGGGGUGGGGGUUCAGGAGGCUGCAGCCUUAACAAUUACCUCUGGUGAUUUUGACACAGGUAGCACAGCAGCCAAACUUGGAGAGAUUUGUUCACAGCACUGCAUCACCAACCUUACUUUCUGUUAGGCCUUUAAUCACUUUUUUUUUUUUUUUUUUUUUUUUUUUCUGAGACAGGGUCUUGCUCUAUCACCCAGGCUGGAGUACAGUGGCACGAUCUUGGCUCACUGCAAUCUCUGUAUCCUGGGUUCAAGCAAUCCUCUCUGCCUUGGCCUCCUGAGUAGCUGGGACCACAGACAUGCUCCAUUAUGCCCAACUAAUUAAAAACAUUUUUUUUAGAGGCAGGCUGGUCUCGAACUCCUGAGCUCAAGCAAUCUGCCUGCCUCGGCCUCCCAAAGUGCUGGGAUUACAGGUGUGAGCCACUGCGCCCGGCCUUUUAAUCACUUUUAAACCAGCAACCCUAAUCUGCCUGUCCCUUGAAUGGAUCCGGAUAAAGGUGUGGCAAACAAGCCUCCUGUCACAGUGGGGUGUGACAGUCACGGCAUCACCCCUUCACCACAUCAUGUGCUGCCAGUCAUCACUUCUGCUGUUGCCACCAACCCUUGCGUUUCCCUUUGUCACUUCCCCCUUGCCACCACCAACGGCCACUGUCCCUCUGCUCCUCACCCUCCAUAGCUGAGUCAGAUCCAGCAUUGGGCACUUGAGGAAGAAGCCACUGUGGAAGGCGGGAUGAGGGUGUUCCCAUUCUACAUUCACAAGCCCACAGCUUGGAGAAGAAGCACACCUAAUUCUGACCCUGGCUUCUGAAGAAGCUCUGCAAACCUGGCUAGAAAGUUGGGCCUGUGGUUUGAGGUUCCUGCUGCCUUUGAUUUUACAAUGAGUGGAAAUUGAGGUUGAGUAACAGGUCUCUUGCCCAAGUAUUAAGGGCCACCACGAAGCAUACAGCAAUGAAGGCAGGAGCUGAUGACAUGUGGUUGGUUCCCCCCUCUAGGCCAAGUAUCUUUGUAUAGGGAAGGCCGACAUGGCCAUCUUCACGGUUUGGUAUUAGUGGAGUGUCUUAUACAUACUGAAAUUUGUUUUUGUUUUCAGGUGCUAAAAGGAUAAUACCAAGGAAAACUAUGGGUGGGGGCAGUGAAUGGCCAGCAUGCCUAUAAUCCCAGCACUUGAAGCCAGGAGUUCGAGACCAGCCUGGGAAACAAAGCAAGACCCUGUGUCUAAAAAAAUUUUUUUAAAAAUAAGCUGGGCAUGGUGGCACGUGCCUAUAGUCCCAGCUACUCAGCUACUCGGGAGACCAAGACAUGGAAUAAACUUGACAAGUGCUAAAGAUGCUCUUUGAUUUUUGUGUGGCAUGAGACCUCAGGCUGAAACUUCUCAUCUGAGCCAUUGAAGGGAGCCUCUCAUCUCUCCACCGAGAGGGGAGACCAGAAUGCUCUGUUUCUGGCAGGAAUCUGACACCACUUACUCCUUGGGUAGAAACUCCCCCAAGUCUGAACUAUGUGAUUGCCUGAGCCCUGCUUCUUGUUCAUUAAGACUGCUCCUCUGAAACGGAAUUGAUGAAUUUUUAGUGGCUAUUAGAAGCAUUUGGGAUCCAUAGGCAUCAGGGUUUGAUGCAUGGCCCUCAUCUCUGUGGGCUCCUGUGCAAUGAUUCUCAUCUGUCUUAGUUAGAAAGUGAAUUAAUCUUGACCUUGGCCUCAGGGGUGUGGUUCUCUGCCCUCUUACACAUCUUCAAUUCGCUUCUUUAUCAGAAGCACUUGUUUUAGGCCCAGGCUCCCCCAAUUUUAAUGACAUUUAGACAUUUGUCUUUAAGUUACAUUGCUUUGAUUUUAAUCAAAAUCUAUAUUUCUAGUAUUAUAUGUUUCCAGAAAGUUCUCAUUCUGGAUUGUAAUUUAAUUACAUGGAUCAUUAAAGCUUUGAAGGAUGCUAAUGGGCAGAAAAAAGAGACUUAACAAAACGAAAGUUAUUAUUAGGAAUUACAAAUCACUUAACAUUUCAACAUCACUCGUCGGAUGUGGGCAUUUUGUUGAAAGAGACCUUGUUUUGAACAGUGACAGUGCAGAAGACCUAUGGAAGAAACAAGCUUCCAACUUGAUUUCUAUUGUUAUGCAUGCAUAGCAAAUUAUUAAUUCUAUUCUAAUAGGGUAAUAGAUUUAGAAAUACUAUUAGCAGAAAACUUGAUGUAUUAGGCAAUACUACAUACCACAUUAGUCUAACCGCUCAACUGUAAUUUUUCAUCCAUACUUUCUUGGGAUGUAAAUAAAAUUGAUAUUAUACAAUGAAAAUAAAAUUGCCCACUAGUCUUGCUUAUUCUCUUGG
rnacentral:lncRNA from 1 species